GGAAAAGUGGCCAUACGGUAGGGCGAGAUAUUUGCUAAAUAUUGUGUUUUAACACCUGGAUGUUCAAAUCAUUCCUUUUCCG